rnacentral:rRNA from 1 species
ACACAUGCAAGUCGAACGAGAGAGAAGGAGCUUGCUUCUUCGAUCGAGUGGCGAACGGGUGAGUAACGCGUGAGGAACCUACCUCAAAGAGGGGGACAACAGUUGGAAACGACUGCUAAUACCGCAUAAGCCCACGGGUCGGCAUCGACCAGAGGGAAAAGGAGCAAUCCGCUUUGAGAUGGCCUCGCGUCCGAUUAGCUAGUUGGUGAGGUAAUGGCCCACCAAGGCGACGAUCGGUAGCCGGACUGAGAGGUUGAACGGCCACAUUGGGACUGAGACACGGCCCAGACUCCUACGGGAGGCAGCAGUGGGGAAUAUUGCACAAUGGGGGAAACCCUGAUGCAGCGACGCCGCGUGGAGGAAGAAGGUCUUCGGAUUGUAAACUCCUGUUGUUGAGGAAGAUAAUGACGGUACUCAACAAGGAAGUGACGGCUAACUACGUGCCAGCAGCCGCGGUAAAACGUAGGUCACAAGCGUUGUCCGGAAUUACUGGGUGUAAAGGGAGCGCAGGCGGGAAGACAAGUUGGAAGUGAAAUCCAUGGGCUCAACCCAUGAACUGCUUUCAAAACUGUUUUUCUUGAGUAGUGCAGAGGUAGGCGGAAUUCCCGGUGUAGCGGUGGAAUGCGUAGAUAUCGGGAGGAACACCAGUGGCGGAGGCGGCCUACUGGGCACCAACUGACGCUGAGGCUCGAAAGUGUGGGUAGCAAACAGGAUUAGAUACCCUGGUAGUCCACACCGUAAACGAUGAUUACUAGGUGCUGGAGGAUUGACCCCUUCAGUGCCGCAGUUAACACAAUAAGUAAUCCACCUGGGGAGUACGACCGCAAGGUUGAAACUCAAAGGAAUUGACGGGG